CUUUAAUGCAAGUCGAACGGCAGCGCGGACUUCGGUCUGGCGGCGAGUGGCGAACGGGUGAGUAAUGUAUCGGAACGUGCCCAGUAGCGGGGGAUAACUACNCGAAAGCGUGGCUAAUACCGCAUACGCCCUUAUGGGGAAAGCGGGGGACCUUCGGGCCUCNCACUAUUGGAGCGGCCGAUAUCGGAUUAGCUAGUUGGUGGGGUAAAGGCCUACCAAGGCGACGAUCCGUAGCUGGUUUGAGAGGACGACCAGCCACACUGGGACUGAGACACGGCCCAGACUCCUACGGGAGGCAGCAGUGGGGAAUUUUGGACAAUGGGGGCAACCCUGAUCCAGCCAUCCCGCGUGUGCGAUGAAGGCCUUCGGGUUGUAAAGCACUUUUGGCAGGAAAGAAACGGCUCUGGUUAAUACCUGGGGCAACUGACGGUACCUGCAGAAUAAGCACCGGCUAACUACGUGCCAGCAGCCGCGGUAAUACGUAGGGUGCAAGCGUUAAUCGGAAUUACUGGGCGUAAAGCGUGCGCAGGCGGUUCGGAAAGAGAGAUGUGAAAUCCCAGGGCUUAACCUUGGAACUGCAUUUUUAACUACCGGGCUAGAGUGUGUCAGAGGGAGGUGGAAUUCCGCGUGUAGCAGUGAAAUGCGUAGAGAUGCGGAGGAACACCGAUGGCNAAGGCAGCCUCCUGGGAUAACACUGACNCUCAUGCACGAAAGCGUGGGUAGCCAAACAGGAUUAGAUACCCUGGUAGUCCACGCCCUAAACGAUGUCAACUAGCUGUUGGGGGCUUUCCGCUCUUGGUAGCGCCAGCUAACGCCGUGAAGUUUGACCGCCCUGGGGAAGUACCNGUCCCCAAGAAUUAAAACUCNAAGGAAUUUGACCGGGGGANCCCNCCCCAAGCCGGUGGNAUGAUGUGGAUUAANUUCCCAUGCCAACCCCGAAAAACCCUUACCNUACCCCCUUGACNUUGUUC
rnacentral:rRNA from 1 species